UUCUAAAAUGGCAGACCAUUGCAUAGGAUUUAAGCUCCUAAUAGGAAAUUCUUUUUCUUUUAGAAU
rnacentral:tRNA from 4 species